ensembl:snRNA U2 U2 spliceosomal RNA
AUCACUUCUUGGCCUUUUGGCUAAGAUCAAGUGCAGUAUAUGUUUUGUUGGUUUGAAAAGACUUACCCUCAUUUUGUAUAAGCUCCCAGUUUCACUACCUGGAUACUUAGCUUGUCUUAAU